CGCGGGGUGGAGCAGCUCGGUAGCUCGCUGGGCUCAUAACCCAGAGGUCAUAGGUUCAAAUCCUAUCCCCGCUACGA
rnacentral:tRNA from 2 species